rnacentral:ncRNA from 2 species
UGCACGAUUUCGCGUGAUGGUUCCGCCAAACAUGACGCGCGGCGGAUGAAAAGGGAACACGGUGAGGAUUACCCAUCAGGGACCGAGACCGUGGCUGCCCCCGCAACUGUGAGCGGCGAGCGCACCUCUACGAGCCACUGGCCGGACGGCUGGGAAGGCGAGGGCGCGCAACGCGCCGCAAGCCAGGAGACCUGCCAUCGGACCGGGCCCAGC